rnacentral:vault_RNA from 1 species
GGACUGGCUCUAGCUCAGCGGUUUCUUCGGCAAUUCUAGCACAACCACUUCUGUGGUUCGAGACCCGCGGGCGCUCCCCAGUCCUUUU